CCUACGGGCGGCAGCAGUGGGGAAUAUUGGACAAUGGGCGAAAGCCUGAUCCAGCCAUGCCGCGUGUGUGAAGAAGGCCUUCGGGUUGUAAAGCACUUUCAGUGGGGAAGAAAGCCUUGGGGCUAAUACCCUCGAGGAAGGACAUCACCCACAGAAGAAGCACCGGCUAACUCCGUGCCAGCAGCCGCGGUAAUACGGAGGGUGCGAGCGUUAAUCGGAAUUACUGGGCGUAAAGCGCGCGUAGGCGGUCUGAUAAGCCGGUUGUGAAAGCCCCGGGCUCAACCUGGGAACGGCAUCCGGAACUGUCAGGCUAGAGUGCAGGAGAGGAAGGUAGAAUUCCCGGUGUAGCGGUGAAAUGCGUAGAGAUCGGGAGGAAUACCAGUGGCGAAGGCGGCCUUCUGGACUGACACUGACGCUGAGGUGCGAAAGCGUGGGUAGCAAACAGGAUUAGAUACCCGGUGUC
rnacentral:rRNA from 1 species